CACAUGUCUGACGCUGUCUGGAGAGAGCUGGGUGUGAUCCAGGGUUGACGGGAGGUGUCUGGUUUACAAGGGUAACUUGGAGUCUGUAUUUGCUGAAAAUCCACAGGAUACAUGAAACAAAACAUCAUUUCCUGCUUCUUUGCACCAACAAAUAGUUCAGUAGCUGUGGGCACAGCGUCUGUCUGUCUGCUCCUCCGUGCCAUCUGCAAGGCAUCACCCUGCCAGCUUUCUGGACCAGCUGCGGGGACGGAGAAUUUAAGCACACGAUGUCGGUGUUGAGUAACCGUCUGCGCAGAAGAUCUUGUGGUGAACCGGGUCACGUUGCUGUGGACGUUUGGUUCAGACGCAGAGGAUUCCAAGCUUCUGCGCUGGAACGACUUCAGUGCUGCGAGAAUUGAAGCACUUGCCUCUUGGCGCUUUCCAAUCCCUCUUUCCCGUGCACCAGUUUGGUGACCUCAGCGGCCAGACGUUUGUGAGCGAUCCGCCGGCCCGGGUCUUCCCUCUGCUGUUCCAUCAC